GACGAACGCUGGCGGCGUGCUUAACACAUGCAAGUCGAACGGUAAGGCCCUUGGGGGUACACGAGUGGCGAACGGGUGAAUAACACGUGGGUGAUCUGCCCUGCACUUCGGGAUAAGCCUGGGAAACUGGGUCUAAUACCGGAUAGGACCACUGCCUGCAUGGGUGGUGGUGGAAAGCUUUUGCGGUGUGGGAUGGGCCCGCGGCCUAUCAGCUUGUUGGUGGGGUGAUGGCCUACCAAGGCGACGACGGGUAGCCGGCCUGAGAGGGUGACCGGCCAGACGGGGACUGGGAUACGGGCCAGACUCCUACGGAAGGCAGCAGUGGGGAAUAUUGCACAAUGGGCGCAAGCCUGAUGCAGCGACGCCGCGUGAGGGAUGACGGCCUUCGGGUUGUAAACCUCUUUCAGCACCGACGAAGCGCAAGUGACGGUAGGUGCAGAAGAAGGACCGGCCAACUACGUGCCAGCCGCCGCGGUAA
rnacentral:rRNA from 1 species